AUUGAACGCUGGCGGAAUGCUUUACACAUGCAAGUCGAACGGCAGCACGGGGGCAGCCCUGGUGGCGAGUGGCGAACGGGUGAGUAAUACAUCGGAACGUGCCCGGUCGUGGGGGAUAACGUAGCGAAAGUUACGCUAAUACCGCAUACGAUCUGAGGAUGAAAGCGGGGGACCUUCGGGCCUCGCGCGAUCGGAGCGGCCGAUGUCAGAUUAGGUAGUUGGUGGGGUAAAGGCCUACCAAGCCGACGAUCUGUAGCUGGUCUGAGAGGACGACCAGCCACACUGGAACUGAGACACGGCCCAGACUCCUACGGGAGGCAGCAGUGGGGAAUUUUGGACAAUGGGCGCAAGCCUGAUCCAGCCAUUCCGCGUGCAGGACGAAGGCCUUCAGGUUGUAAACUGCUUUUGUACGGAACGAAAAGGCUCUGGCUAAUACCUGGGGCUCAUGACGGUACCGAAAGAAUAAGCACCGGCUAACUACGUG
rnacentral:rRNA from 1 species